rnacentral:rRNA from 1 species
GGCCAGACUCCUACGGGAGGCAGCAGUGGGGAAUAUUGCACAAUGGGGGAAACCCUGAUGCAGCGACGCCGCGUGAGUGAAGAAGUAUUUCGGUAUGUAAAGCUCUAUCAGCAGGGAAGAAGAAGGACGGUACCUGAGUAAGAAGCCCCGGCUAACUACGUGCCAGCAGCCGCGGUAAUACGUAGGGGGCAAGCGUUAUCCGGAUUUACUGGGUGUAAAGGGAGCGUAGACGGCGAAGAAAGUCUGAAGUGAAAGCCCGUGGCUCAACCGCGGAAUGGCUUUGGAAACUUUUUUGCUGGAGUACCGGAGAGGUAAGCGGAAUUCCUAGUGUAGCGGUGAAAUGCGUAGAUAUUAGGAGGAACACCAGUGGCGAAGGCGGCUUACUGGACGGUAACUGACGUUGAGGCUCGAAAGCGUGGGGAGCAAACAGGAUUAGAUACCCUAGUAU